CCUACGGGUGGCAGCAGUGGGGAAUAUUGGGCAAUGGGCGCAAGCCUGACCCAGCAACGCCGCGUGAAGGAAGAAGGCUUUCGGGUUGUAAACUUCUUUUAAGAGGGAAGAGCAGAAGACGGUACCUCUGGAAUAAGCCACGGCUAACUCCGGGCCAGCAGCCGCGGUAAUACGUAGGUGGCAAGCGUUGUCCGGAUUUACUGGGUGUAAAGGGCGGGCAGCCGGGACGACCAGUCAGAUGUGACAUCCCGCGGCGCAACCGCGGAACUGCCUUUGAAACUGUUUUUCUUGAGUACCGGAGAGGUCAUCGGAAUUCCUUGUGUAGCGGUGAAAUGCGUCGCUAUCAGG
rnacentral:rRNA from 1 species